AGUGAAGCGGGAAGAGCUCAAAUUUGAAAUCUGGUGGCCUCAGGCUAUCCGAGUUGUAAUCUAUAGAAACAUUUUCCGCGUUGGCCCAUGUACAAGUCUCUUGGAAUAGAGCGUCAUAGAGGGUGAGAAUCCCGUCCUUGACAUGGACUACCAGUGCUUUGUGAUAUGUUUUCAACGAGUCGAGUUGUUUGGGAAUGCAGCUCAAAAUGGGUGGUAAAUUCCAUCUAAAGCUAAAUAUUGGCGAGAGACCGAUAGCGAACAAGUACCGUGAGGGAAAGAUGAAAAGCACUUUGGAAAGAGAGUUAAACAGUAUGUGAAAUUGUUGAAAGGGAAACGAUUGAAGUCAGUCGUGUCUAUUGGACUCAGCCGGUUCUGCCGGUGUACUUCCUUUAGAUGGGGUCAACAUCAGUUUUGAUCGCUGGAAAAGGGCAGGAGGAAUGUAGCACUCUCGGGUGAACUUAUAGCCUUCUGUCGCAUACAGUGGUUGGGACUGAGGAACGCAGCUUGCCUUUAUGGCCGGGAUUUAUCCACGUACAAGCUUAGGAUGUUGACAUAAUGGCUUUAAACGACCCGUCUUGA
rnacentral:rRNA from 1 species